rnacentral:rRNA from 1 species
AUUGAACGCUGGCGGAAUGCUUUACACAUGCAAGUCGAACGGCAGCACGGGGCAACCUGGUGGCGAGUGGCGAACGGGUGAGUAAUACAUCGGAACGUGCCCAAUCGUGGGGGAUAACGUAGCGAAAGUUACGCUAAUACCGCAUACGAUCUACGGAUGAAAGCGGGGGAUCGCAAGACCUCGCGCGAAUGGAGCGGCCGAUGUCAGAUUAGGUAGUUGGUGGGGUAAAGGCUCACCAAGCCAACGAUCUGUAGCUGGUCUGAGAGGACGACCAGC